UAUUAUUAUUAGUAAUUAUGAUAAAACUAUUGUCAUUAUUAAUAGUAGUUAUUACAAUACUCAUCAAUACAAUAGUUAAGACCCUUAACUACAAUAGUACAAUACAGUAGUGAGAAAGUACAGUACACACCUGUCUUGCCUGUACAACCCUUCAGUACCGCACAGAGCACAAGCAUCACAUUAACCUGCCCCGAGAUGUACUUAGAUGAUAUUAACCUAACUUAACCUAACCUUACCUAACCUAACCUAACCUAACUUAACCUAACCUAACCUAACCUAACCUAGAGCAUAGCACCUUAAGUAACCUGUAGAGCUUUGUUAGGGAUAUAUUACAAUGCUCUGUUCCUAUAUAGCAUUAGUAGACAGCAAGUAUUUCACGUGUACAGUUAGGUUGAUUCUAUACAACUAGAAUAGGUAAACAAACAUGACGUAAUCAGUGACGUCAUGAUAGGUAAACAAACAUGACGUAAUCAGUGACGUCAUGAUAGGUAAACAAACGUGACGUAAUCAGUGACGUCAUGACAUAACCCCCCCCCUUUCCCUAUAAACAAGACAUGUCCGUAUGUAUGAAUGUAUGUAAAAAUAAUACAUAUAUGACAGAAAAUACACAUAUAUAAGAAGAGAUGUACACGUAUAUAUGUAUAGAUUUAUAAGCACUAAAGCUGGAGGGUAUAACAGGUAGAGGUGGGAUAUUAACCUACCUUUAAUUAACAGGUGUACAACUGUUCAUUAUUAAUAAAAACUUCAGCACAA